UACGGAGGGUGCAAGCGUUAUCCGGAUUUACUGGGUUUAAAGGGUGCGUAGGCGGACAGGAAAGUCAGUGGUGAAAUCUUCGAGCUUAACUCGGAAACUGCCUUUGAUACUAUUUGUCUUGAAUACUUUGGAGGUAAGCGGGAUAUGUCAUGUAGCGGUGAAAUGCUUAGAUAUGACAUGGAACACCAAUUGCGAAGGCAGCUUACUACACAGUUAUUGACGCUGAGGCUCGAAAGCGUGGGGAUCAAACAGG
rnacentral:rRNA from 1 species